AUUGAACGCUGGCGGCAGGCCUAACACAUGCCAGUCGAGCGGAUGAAGGGAGCUUGCUCCUGGAUUCAGCGGCGGACGGGUGAGUAAUGCCUAGGAAUCUGCCUGGUAGUGGGGGAUAACGUCCGGAAACGGGUGCUAAUACCGCAUACGUCCUGAGGGAGAAAGUGGGGGAUCUUCGGACCUCACGCUAUCAGAUGAGCCUAGGUCGGAUUAGCUAGUUGGUGGGGUAAAGGCCUACCAAGGCGACGAUCCGUAACUGGUCUGAGAGGAUGAUCAGUCACACUGGAACUGAGACACGGUCCAGACUCCUACGGGAGGCAGCAGUGGGGAAUAUUGGACAAUGGGCGAAAGCCUGAUCCAGCCAUGCCGCGUGUGUGAAGAAGGUCUUCGGAUUGUAAAGCACUUUAAGUUGGGAGGAAGGGCAGUAAGUUAAUACCUUGCUGUUUUGACGUUACCAACAGAAUAAGCACCGGCUAACUUCGUG
rnacentral:rRNA from 1 species